CAGGACAGUCAGUAUAUGUGUGCAGAGUGGUUCCCGCUGCUCUUGGAGGUGCUGGUGCCAUGGUGCUCCUGUCCUUAUGCUUCUGUCUCAUAUCCUUUUGCAUAGUGAAAUUCCACAAGAAGAAAAACAGGUGGGAGACAAAAGGUCAUGAAUGAUGAAGACCCUGUCAUGGGUACAGUCACUUGGGUGCGUGAUGGUUCCCAGCAAAAUCCACAGCCAGACAGGCCCCCAGGCCAAGCAUCACCCAUGGAGGAUUCUUCUCCAUUGGGAGAGGAGCAGGAUAGCCAGUACGCCAACCUCAGUUUUCAGAGGGGGAACCUGUGUGAGGGUCAGGACAAGGAGGCCACCAGCACCUGCGUGUACUCAGAGAUCAAGAAGACCAGAAAAUGAGAACUCUCUCACAGAUUAGGCCUGACCAGAAACAUUACAGCCUCUCUGAGGGAAAGAAGUUGGGGACUAGUUGGUGAAGCAUAAGGCAACCUCGUGCAACAUUAGCAUGAAUGCUCUGACAGUGGUAAGAGCAUCUGCAGGCAGAGCAGAAAGAAGGUGAUGGGAUUGGAGAGACUUGGGCUCAAGUGCAGACUUCAGCACUUCCUACGACAUUGUCUUUAAUUGAUUUACUUCAUUCCUCGGUCCUCAGUUUCUCAUUCUGUACAGUAGAGAUCAUACAUGCUACUCAAAGGCAGCUGUGAGCAUUAAAGAAAUCAUAAGCAACAGAGGUCCAAGGCUUGCCUGUCUCUCUUUUUUGAACAGAAAGGUCCUGGUGGCAAGUUCUCCUGAAGCCAGGGGUGACCAGCCAUAAAAGACAGGGUGACAACUUUUUGUUCUCAUUUUCCAUCCCAGAACUCCUCGAAGCCUAUACAAGCAAAGACAUCCCUGUCUACCUUUUGUUUUAUUCAUGAUGAGGUAUCAUAGGUUCUCUGGGUUCAUUUCACCUCACUUGUACCUGUCCAUUCUCCAGCACCUCCUGACUGCCACUCCCUUCCCUGUCCCAUGUGCAGCCCCACAGGGAUCUUUCCAACCACCUGUUGGCUGUAAGCAUGAGCUGACUAGGCAUUCCAUCACCAGAAAGAAAUUUUUUCAGAGACAAAGGAUUGAGAUGCAGCCAGUGCAGCCACAGUGAGCCAUGUGCUUUCUGUAAAAGGUAACCACCUAAAGCCAACCUGUGCAUAGUAAAUGAAGACCACCCUCAAUGUAAUGUGCCCAGAAAUGCAAUAAAAGCUUGUCCAGGCAGGGGUUGAGGUCAUGUCUCACUGAGAGAGUGAUCAUCCCGUCCCCUUUUCUUUACAGGACUUCUUUAGUCUGUGUGAAUUUGUUUAUCACAGCCACAACACAUGGGCCCUGCCGGCCAGGGUCUGCAUCAAUUCCUGCGCUGUUGUAAGGUGUCACAAUGCCUAUGUGAUGAGGUGUAGGGAGGUGAAUGCCACAGACAUUGUGACACAGCAUGAGGCUACUACAAGGGUGACUGGAACACAAGCACCCAGAUACUAGGACAGUAGAUCUGACAACCUAGUUGGCUACUAAGUGACUCACAAGUGGGGCAGUAUAUACAGUGUGGAGAUGCAGGACAAAGAGAUUGUUCACACCCAGGCAGGGCAUACAGAGGGAGUACAAGAUUCAUCAUACUACUUAGAAAAUUGCAAAAUUUAAAACAUGAAUGGUUUACUUCUGGAAUAUUCCAUUUAGUAUUUUUGGACUGUGUUUGAACAGGGAUAACAGAAACCAUGUAAAGCACAACUGUGGAUAAUAGGAGAUGACUGCAAUAAAGCUGUUUAUUUUUCCCAAAGUUCCCUAAUGGUUGUUGCUGAAGUGUGUCUUAUAAUCAUAACAAGAACCACUAGGGCUGGCCCUGGCCACAACAUUGGCUGUAAAGGGGAAAUGUCUGUGGGGUGUCCACAGGUAGAAUGGGCCCAGGUGAUUGCCCCAGUGACACAAGACAAGCACCUGCAUAUAGGUGAUUUCUUUCCUCAAUUUUAGAAAGUGGUGCUGAGGAAAGAAGGGCACAGUUACAGUGUGGAACUAGGAGGGCUUUGGGUCCCACAUCCACUACAUGAACUCCAAUUUCAGUAUGGCAAGAAGUUAAAUUGUGACUCUUGUUUUGGUAAUAACUGGUUAAAUCAUUCUGCUCAGGACUUGUGCUGAAAAUAACAAAAUUCUUUGGGGAAAAAGUAAUAGAACAAAUAAAACCCUUCAUUUUAAAAAUGUAGAAUAAUUGAAAAUAAAUGAAAAUGUGCACUUGUUAGACUAGCAUUUGGGGGAAUACUUGAGUCCAGAAAAUGAGACAGAAUAUUUAAGCCAAGAUACCAAGGUUUCCAAUGGCAUUUACCCACACUGAUGAUGUAGCUUUGGUUCAGUGGCCUUCAUGACCUGGAAAUGAAAGGGGCUUGGAGAGAAAGGGGAAUGAAGAGAAAUUCUGAGGCUCCUGGGGAACCUUCCUGUUUAAUUCUUGACUUGAGAUAUGAUCCCAUAGUGUAACUUAUAUGCUUGUGUAAUGUAAACUAUUUUAAUAAGGUACCAUAUUAUGUAUUUCUCAUAUUUAUAAAUGUAUAAUAUUGUACUAUAAUAUAUAAAAUACAAUAUGAAA